rnacentral:lncRNA from 1 species
GCCGUCAGGGGGGCGGCGGCGGCGGCGCUGAGGGAGCUGAGGGAGGAGCUGCAGGUACUGGCUUAUACUGGUUUAUACUGGUUUAUACUGGGAGGGGUUUGGAUGAUUUUUUUAGGGAAUUUUUAGGGAAUUUUUUUAGGAAUUUUUGGGGAAUUUUUGUGGAAUUUUGGGGGAAUUUUUGAGAAAUUUUUAGGGAAUUUUUAAGGAAAUUUUAGGGAAUUUUUGAGGAAUUUUUAAGGGAUUUGGAGGGAAUUUUUGGGGAAUUUUUAGGGAAUUAUUUGAGGAAUUUUUGAGAGAAUUUUUGGGAAUUUUUGAGGAAUUUUUAGGGAAUUUUUGAGGGAAUUUCGAGGGAAUUUUAAUGAAUUUUUUAGGGAGCUUUAGAGAAAUUUUUGAGGAAUUUUUUGGGAAUUUUUGAGGAGUUUUUGAGGAAUUUUUAAAGGAAUUUUUAAAGAAUUUUUGGGGAAUUUUUAAGGGGUUUUGAGGGAAUUUUUUUGGGAAUUUUUGAGGAAUUUUUGAGAAAAUUUUUGGGAAUUUUUAGGGAAUUUUUGGGGAAUUUUUGAGGAAAUUUCUGGGAAUUUUUGUGGAAUUUUGGGGGAAUUUUAAGGGAAUUUUUUGGGAAUUUUUGAGGAAUUUUUGGGUGAAAUUUUGGGAAUUUUGGGGUGAAUUUUUGGGAAUUUUUGGGUGAAAUUUUGGGAAUUUUGGGGUGAAAUUUUGGGAAUUUUGGGGUGAAAUUUUGGGAAUUUUUGGGUGAAAUUUUGGGAAUUUUUUGGGGUGAAAUUUUGGGAAUUUUGGGGUGAAAUUUUGGGAAUUUUGGGUGAAAUUUGGGGAAUUUUUGGGUGAAAUUUUGGGAAUUUUGGGGUGAAAUUUUGGGAAUUUUUGGGUGAAAUUUUGGGAAUUUUGGGGUGAAAUUUUGGGAAUUUUGGGGGGAAUUUUUGGGAAUUUUUGGGUGAAAUUUUGGGAAUUUUUGGGGUGGAAUUUUGGGAAUUUUGGGGUGAAAUUUUUUGGAAUUUUUCGGGAUCAGCCCGAGGUGGCUCCGCUGGCGGCCGAGGCCCUCCCGAGGAUUUUGGGGGAAUUUUGGGGCUCCCGGAAUUCCGGGAAUUCCCCAAAUCCCGACCCCAGGUCCUGGUUCGUGCUGGAGACGCUGCUGGAGGCGCUGGGGGAGGGGGUUCAGCCCUGGCUGCCCCAGGUGAUUCCCAGGAUUUUGGGAGCUUUGGAGGCGUCGGAGCCGGAGCGGAGCCGGGAGCUGGCGCUGAGCGCGCUGCACGCGCUGGCCUGCAGCUCCGGCUCCCUGCACCUCCCCUCCCCCGCCCUGGCAGCCGUCACCGCCCUGGCCCGGGGGGGACCCCAGCAGUUACAGGCACUGGAGGUGCUGGCGGCGCUGGGCCCGGCCGUGGUGGGGGAGGGGCUGCUGGAGGCUCUGGAGCGGGGGCUGGGCCUGGCCCCGGGGGAUCCCGAGGCCACCAGGGUGAGGUGAGUGAGGCAAUUCCCCCAAAAUUCCCAAAAAUUCCCCCAAAAUUCCCAGAAUUCCCUGAAAUUCCCCAAAAUUCCCCAAAUUCCCAGAAUUCCCCAAAUUCCCAAAAAAAAUUCCCCAAAAAAAUUCCCAAAAAAAACCCCAAAAAUCCCAAAAAUUCCCCCAAAAUCCCCCCAAAUUCCCCCAAAUUCCCAGAAUUCCCCAGAAUUCCCCAGAAUUCCCAAAAUUCCCAAAAUUCCCCAAAAUUCCCCAGAAUUCCCAGAAUUCCCCAAAAAAAGCCCCAAAAAACUCCAAAAAUUCCGCCAAAAAUUCCCAAAAAUUCCCCAAAAUUCCCAAAAAUUCCCCAAAACUCCCCAAAGAAAUUCCCCAAAAAAAUUCCCCCCAAAAAUUCCCAAAAAUUCCCCAAGAAUUCCAAAAAAUUCCCACAAAAUAUUCCCAAAAACCCCCGAAAUUCCCCCCAAAAAACUCCAAAAAACCCCAAAAAUUCCCCCAAAAAUUCCCAAAAAAAUCCCUGAAAAUUCCCCCAAAAAAUCCCAAAAUUGAAAAAAAACCCCAAAAAUUCCCCAAAAAAAAUUCCCAAAAAAACCCCAAAAAACCCCAAAAAAUUCCCAGAAAAUUCCCCUAAAAAUCCCAAAAAACCCAAAAAAAUUUCCAGAAAAUUCACAAAAAAUCCAAAAAAUUCCCCCAAAAUUCCCCAAAAAAAUCCCUGAAAAUUCCCUCCAAAAAAUUCCCAAAACCCCCCGAAAUUCCCCCAAAAAACCCCCAAAAAUCCCAAAAAUUCCCUCGAAAAUUCCCAAAAAUUCCCCAGAAAAUUUCCCAAAAAAAUUCCCCCCCAAAAAUUCCCCCAAAAAUCCCCAAAAAU